rnacentral:rRNA from 1 species
AUUGAACGCUGGCGGCAUGCCUUACACAUGCAAGUCGAACGGCAGCGGGGGAGAAGCUUGCUUUUCCUGCCGGCGAGUGGCGAACGGGUGAGUAAUACAUCGGAACGUGCCCUGUAGUGGGGAUAACUAGUCGAAAGAUUAGCUAAUACCGCAUACGACCUGAGGGUGAAAGUGGGGGACCGCAAGGCCUCACGCUAUAGGAGCGGCCGAUGUCUGAUUAGCUAGUUGGUGGGGUAAAGGCCUACCAAGGCGACGAUCAGUAGCUGGUCUGAGGGGACGAUCAGCCACGCUGGGGCUGAGACACGGCCCAGACUCCUACGGGAGGCAGCAGUGGGGAAUAUUGGACAAUGGGCGAAAGCCUGAUCCAGCAAUGCCGCGUGUGUGAAGAAGGCCUUCGGGUUGUAAAGCACUUUUGUCCGGAAAGAAAUGGCUCUGGUUAAUACCUGGGGUCGAUGACGGUACCGGAAGAAUGAGGACCGGCUAACUACGUGCCAGCAGCCGCGGUAA